UGUGACAUGUCUUAGUUUUAGAGCUGUCAA
rnacentral:piRNA from 1 species